rnacentral:rRNA from 1 species
CUGGGACUGAGACACGGCCCAGACUCCUACGGGAGGCAGCAGUGAGGAAUAUUGCACAAUGGGAGAAAUCCUGAUGCAGCGACGCCGCGUGUGGGAAGAAGG